GGAUAAUCUACCCUUAGGACCGGGAUAACCCUGGGAAACUGGGGCUAAUACUGGAUAGGCAAUUUUUCCUGCAAUGGUUUUUUGUUUAAAUGUUUUUUCGCCUAAGGAUGAGUCUGCGGCCGAUUAGGUAGUUGGUUAGGUAAUGGCUUACCAAGCCGUUGAUCGGUACGGGUUGUGAGAGCAAGAGCCCGGAGAUGGAACCUGAGACAAGGUUCCAGGCCCUACGGGGUGCAGCAGGCGCGAAACCUCCGCAAUGUGAGAAAUCGCGACGGGGGGAUCCCAAGUGCCAUUCUUAACGGGAUGGCUUUUCAUUAGUGUAAAGAGCUUUUGGAAUAAGAGCUGGGCAAGACCGGUGCCAGCCGCCGCGGUAACACCGGCAGCUCUAGUGGUAACAAUUUUUAUUGGGCCUAAAGCGUCCGUAGCCGGUUUAAUAAGUCUCUGGUGAAAUCCUGUAGCUUAACUGUGGGAAUUGCUGGAGAUACUAUUAGACUUGAGACCGGGAGAGGUUAGAGGUACUCCCAGGGUAGAGGUGAAAUUCUGUAAUCCUGGGAGGACCGCCUGUUGCGAAGGCGUCUAACUGGAACGGUUCUGACGGUGAGGGACGAAAGUUAGGGGCGCGAACCGGAUUAGAUACCCGGGUAGUCCUAACUGUAAACGAUGCGGACUUGGU
rnacentral:rRNA from 1 species